rnacentral:rRNA from 1 species
AUUGAACGCUGGCGGCAUGCUUUACACAUGCAAGUCGAGCGGCAGCGCGGGGGCAACCCUGGCGGCGAGCGGCGAACGGGUGAGUAAUGCAUCGGAACGUAUCCUCGAGUGGGGGAUAACCCAGCGAAAGUUGGGCUAAUACCGCAUGAGCUCUGAGGAGGAAAGCGGGGGACCUGCGAGGGCCUCGCGCUGGAGGAGCGGCCGAUGUCCGAUUAGCUAGUUGGUGGGGUAAAGGCUUACCAAGGCGACGAUCGGUAGCUGGUCUGAGAGGAUGAUCAGCCACACUGGGACUGAGACACGGCCCAGACUCCUACGGGAGGCAGCAGUGGGGGAUUUUGGACAAUGGGGGCAACCCUGAUCCAGCCAUGCCGCGUGAGUGAAGAAGGCCUUCGGGUUGUAAAGCUCUUUCGGACGGAACGAAAUGGGCGGGACUAAUACUCCUGUCUGAUGACGGUACCGUAAGAAGAAGCACCGGCUAACUACGUG